rnacentral:rRNA from 1 species
ACUCAAAUGAAUUGACGGGGACCCGCACAAGCAGCGGAGCAUGUUGCUUAAUUCGAUGCAACGCGAAGAACCUUACCUGGAUUGAACUACGCAGGAAAAGCUACAGAGAUGUAGUGUCCUUCGGGGUCUGCGAUAGGUGGUGCAUGGCUGUCGUCAGCUCGUGUCGUGAGAUGUUGGGUUAAGUCCCGCAACGAGCGCAACCCUUGUCCUAUGUUGCUAACGGGUAAUGCCGAGGACUCGUAGGAGACCGCCGUGGUCAACACGGAGGAAGGUGGGGAUGAUGUCAAGUCAUCAUGCCCCUUACGUCCAGGGCUGCAAACAUGCUACAAUGGCUGGUACAAAGGGCUGCGAGAUCGCGAGGUUUAGCGAAUCCCAAAAAGCCAGUCUCAGUUCGGAUUGGAGUCUGCAACUCGACUCCAUGAAGCUGGAGUUGCUAGUAAUCCCAGAUCAGCAUUGCUGGGGUGAAUACGUUCCCGGGUCUUGUACACACCGCCCGU